CUGGCUCAGGAUGAACGCUGGCGGCGUGCCUAACACAUGCAAGUCGAACGAAGCGCCUCGCCCGACGAAGUGGAGUGCUUGCACAAAGCGGAAUCAAUUGAGGCGACUUAGUGGCGGACGGGUGAGUAACGCGUGGGUAACCUGCCUUAUACAGGGGGAUAACAGUUAGAAAUGACUGCUAAUACCGCAUAAGCGCACAGUAUCGCAUGAUACGGUGUGAAAAACUCCGGUGGUAUAAGAUGGACCCGCGUCUGAUUAGCCAGUUGGCAGGGUAACGGCCUAUUAAAGCGACGAUCAGUAGCCGGCCUGAGAGGGUGAACGGCCACAUUGGGACUGAGACACGGCCCAAACUCCUACGGGAGGCAGCAGUGGGGGAUAUUGCACAAUGGGGGAAACCCUGAUGCCAGCGACGCCGCGUGAAGGAUGAAGUAUUUCGGUAUGUAAACUUCUAUCAGCAAGGAAGAAAAUGACGGUACUUGACUAAGAAGCCCCGGCUAAAUACGUGCCAGCCGCUGC
rnacentral:rRNA from 1 species